GGGGAUCGAAAGACCUUAUGCUUUUGGAGCGGCCGAUGUCUGAUUAGCUAGUUGGUAAGGUAAUGGCUUACCAAGGCGACGAUCAGUAGUUGGUCUGAGAGGACGACCAGCCACACUGGGACUGAGACACGGCCCAGACUCCUACGGGAGGCAGCAGUGGGGAAUUUUGGACAAUGGGCGCAAGCCUGAUCCAGCAAUGCCGCGUGAGUGAAGAAGGCCUUCGGGUUGUAAAGCUCUUUCAGUCGAGAAGAAAAGGCUGUGACUAAUAAUCAUAGCUCAUGACGGUAUCGACAGAAGAAGCACCGGCUAACUACGUGCCAGCAGCCGCGGUAAUACGUAGGGUGCGAGCGUUAAUCGGAAUUACUGGGCGUAAAGGGUGCGCAGGCGGUUUUGUAAGUCAGAUGUGAAAUCCCCGGGCUUAACCUGGGAACUGCGUUUGAA
rnacentral:rRNA from 1 species